rnacentral:snRNA from 1 species
AAAGUUAUCUCUAGGAAUGCUUAACCACGAUCACAAAGGUGGUUUUCCCAGGGAGAGGCUUAUCCAUUGUACUCCGGAUGUGCUGCUCCUGCGAUUUCCCCAAAUGCAGGAAACUCGACUGCAUAGUUUGUGGUAGUGGGGGACUGCAUUCGUGCUUUCAGCUG